CAAAACUUGAAGAUUUUAUAUCGCCCAAAUUAUGAUCUCUCUGACCUUGGUUAGACAGUGUCCACCAUCUUAUUUAAACCAUAACGAGACCCUCCACAUCACCCUACACUCCCACUAAAGACCAGGGGCAAUAAGGCCCAGGUUUUUUACAGAGCCAUGUAGCUUCUCUGCCUUCCCUCAGACCUUACUAAGAGAUUCAUUUUUUCUGUGAUCUUCAUAUGUAUCUGUUGUAUAAAUUACACUUUCUAGUUUGCCAUUAUUCUUUCUGCAGGAAUUUCUCAAUGUUCCAUAUCUUCUCUGUUUUCUCUCCUUAGCUUGCAGGAGGACUGAAUUUGCAUCUUCUGCUGCACCAGGAAUACUUUUAGCACUUCAAAUCUAAGCCUGAGAUGAUUGAUUUGGUGGACUUACACCAAAGGUAUAUUUUGAUCAGACAGCUUCUGGUAUAUAAAGAAAACCUGCAGUAAAGAAAUAUCACCCCCACCUUUUUCCUAUGGGACGCUCUGUGCAAUCGUGACAGUACCUGAUGAAAUGGAAAGUUCUCUUCACACAUUUCAGCAGUGAAGAUCACAAAGUCACAAAUCCCUUCAAAAUUACAAGAUGUGCUGCAAUGACUUGAAACCUGUGGGAAAGCAAUUAAUAACCAACCAGUAGAUUCGAUGAAGGCAACUUGUACCUGAUGAGGUGAUGAAUGACCACAGCUGAAUUAUCUUUGUGGAGGGGCUGCGCUUCCUCUGGAAAGGUGGAAGUAGUUCAAACACCAAUGGGCAGACCUCCAUCCUAGAGAAACCUUAGAAGGACAACAGAGUCAAACUCUUCCCAGCAGUGGCAGCUGAUAUAACAAGGGACAGAGACUGCAGCUUGGGAGGUUCAGACUGGACAGAAGAAAACCUCUUUCCCCAGGAGGAUAGCACAGACUGGGAUGGGUACCCAGAGAGGGAUGAGAUCUCUGUUUGUGGGAGGUUUCCAGCCACGGAUAGAAGCUGGCCAUGGCUGGCCUACGCUAGCACUGUUCUGCUUUGGGUAGCAGGCUGGACUAGAGACCCUCAACGAACCCACCUUCCUGUCAUACUGUGAUUCUGCAAAAGUUUUGGGGAAGGCUGCAGCAAAUUCCAGUUCAGUUCAAACCAAGGUUUUCUCAAAGCAACUCCAGAAGCUAAAGUUUGAGGCCUGUAGCACAAAACCUCUAGAUGGGAUCACAGGAGUGGACGACAGUAUCUGUUUGAUUUCUGGCCAGCACAUCUGGCCCCAGAGAAGGAGACAAGACAAGCAGAUGCUACAAAGGAUUUGACAGCACAAACUGCCAAAUGGGUCUUUGUCCAGAGACCUUGCUCUAGUAACCCCUCCCCUAGGAAGAGAUGAGAGGGUAGGCAAUGCUGGAGACCACCUCUGCAGGGUACCUUGGCUGUAAUCCACAGCCCAACCUACUGUCCCGCAUGCAGCAUCGGAAUGUUCUAACUAAAUUUUCAUAUUGUCCGUUGUUUUCUAAUCUUCAAACAGACAGCAUUCCCUCAGGAGCAGGGCCUUAAUUGUCUACGUCAAGAGCCAGGUAAUGAAGGCUGUGCCUAGACCAAAUGCUUAUGGAAGGCAUGAGGAGCAUUAACUAAGGGCUUGUCCAUGUGGAAAGGUUGCACCAUUUUGUUUUCUUCACAGUCAAAUCAAAACAAACCUAAAAGGCUUUGCAAGCAUGUGAUCAAAUACAAAACCUGAAAGGAGGUUUUUGGUUGUGAAAUCAGUAUGUAAGUGUGAGAAGGGACAAACCAUCUUGUUAAUUCUCUUCAAGUUCUACUAAGACAUUUUAUUCUCUUUCUAUUUUCUCUCUCUGUUGCACUUAAGCAGUAUUUAACACCUUAUUUUACACUCUGCGUACUGUUUAGGUAUGUAAGCCCUCGCCUUCAUACAAGGGCAAACUUUCCAUUGAAAUUAUAUCCAUUAUUUAUAUUAAGAAAAAACAGUUGAGCCUAGUCCUGAACGUUGCUGAACAUCUUUCCAAUGCUGUAAAACCUCAGCUUUCAUUUACUUCAAGAUAAGUGGCUGACACACUACAUACUAUAGGAUGUUUUCCUGCUGUGUCUAUGCAAAGAAGAGCUUGGGUAAUUUUUAAAAUCUUAAUUUCAACUGUCAGUAAUAAUUUCAGCUCUGCCUGUCAAAGAGAGUUGAAGUCACAUGUCUGAGAGCAGGCUUUGGGUCCUGGAUACCACAGUAUUUAAAGUCAUCUGUUACACAAAAACAAUAUUUUACAGUUCUGCUGCUUUAAAAACAGCCUUUCCUGACUAUAAACAUGGCAUUUGGCCACUCAUUCAUUGUCUCACAGGCCUGGAUUUAAUUGCAACUUCAGCCUCUAGCCAAAAUACGCAUCUGAAAACAGUGCUAUUCAUCUCCAUGGAGUUAGCGCUGGACCACGCGUAGGCGGACAGACACUUCUCUCCUGUUUGCAAAACCUCCAGUCUGUCAUUCCACUAUUCUCUUUUCCUUUAUGUUCCUCUCUUUCCAAAAUGUCACAGUGUAUAGUUUUCCACCGAAGAACAAGAAGGGAUCUAUAUAUUUAAUAUGCAGAAUAUGCAUGUAAUAUGCAGAAGCAAGUAAUCCACAGCCAUAGCCUUUUGGGGAUAAAAGCUUUUUUAUACCUAUGGUCAACACAGUGUGCUAAAUUACAGUUGAGACUCAAUACUGAAAGCUCUCAGAACUGCAGAUGAACUAAUUAUUUGAGCAUGGCUGUGUAAGGCACUGAUACGAAACAAAGAAGGCCUAUUACUUUCUAGAAGAGAAGAAUUACAGCAGUUUCCUCAUAUUCAAUAUCCGCCCCAAAAGCAUAUAUCGAAAGAUGUAUUUUUAAACUUCACCUGAUUUAAAACAAUCUAAAAGAAAGAAGAAAGAGAAAUGUCCAGACCUUCCUAAACUAGUUUAUUUCAUUUUGAUCAGUCCUAUCUGUUUUAAGUAUAAUAUCUUAAAUUUUGUAAGCACAUAGAAGCUAACUGCUGCUUGCUACGAAGCCCCUGUUUUUUUUAGGAAAAUAGUUCUGUUGUGCUAAGAUCUAGAAAAUGUUACACCCUCUCAAUUAGUUGUUUCUAAUGGUGAAGUUACAUGGUUUAUUUGUUUUUUUAACUAGGAUCAUUUCACGAAUACUUGUGGUCCCACAUUUACAGUGCAGCCCACAAAUGGUGGGGAAACUAACUGUGAUGAGGGGUUAGGAGUGGGCUGGACGAGGGACAGGGACUUUGUAAGCUGGCUUUGCCAUUACCAAAAUGUUUAUGCAACUACAUAAAAAUAUUAAUGUGAAAACAGACUGAAAGAGGUAUUUAUAUAUACUUACAAUUAUGUUAUAUUGAAGCAAAUAUUAAUAUAAAUGUAUACUACCAGUUAAAGCUACACUACUUUGUUAUGUUUGAUUAGCAUAAAAGACAUGUUUUCUACUUCUGUUGUAGUAAUGAACACAAGCAAUAAAAGCACCAUUUGUUAUGAGGGAA